GUUUAAGGAUCUUGGGAUAGUUGGGGUUAAGUGUCUUUGGGUUUGAAUAGUACUAGGCUGGGUGACCUCCCGGGAAGUCCAAACUUAUGAGCU
rfam:Selaginella moellendorffii unplaced genomic scaffold SELMOscaffold_8, whole genome shotgun sequence.